UUUCCUACGGGGCGCAGCAGUGAGGAAUAUUGGUCAAUGGGAGAGAUCCUGAACCAGCCAAGCCGCGUGAGGGAAGACGGCCCUAUGGGUUGUAAACCUCUUUUGUCGGGGAGCAAAAGACGCCACGCGUGGCGUUCCGAGAGUACCCGAAGAAAAAGCAUCGGCUAACUCCGUGCCAGCAGCCGCGGUAAUACGGAGGAUGCGAGCGUUAUCCGGAUUUAUUGGGUUUAAAGGGUGCGCAGGCGGUCUGUUAAGUCAGCGGUCAAAGCCCGGGGCUCAACCCCGGCCCGCCGU
rnacentral:rRNA from 1 species